CGGUAGUCGGAGAACAGUAGGUGGUUGUAGGGGAUGCCGUAGCCCACGGGGUCGUAGGCGCACACCACGUUGAGCAGGGAGGUGAACAGAGGCAGGGCAUGUCUGGGUGAAGGACCAGGUGGAGGGAAAUGAGGAGGUGAAAACAGCCAAUAGGCCCUUGUUGCUUUUAUAGUCUAUAAAAGAAAGGCUAUGCUAACCUGGCUGUCACAGAAAGGGAAGAAGGAGACCCAGGGAUUGAGGAUUUUGCUUUCAGAGGAAGGAGAAA